UUCUCAAAUCAGACUCCAUCAACCCCUUUUCCCUACUUUCAGAUUCACGUGACCCUGAAAACCCUUUUCUUAACUUUCAGAUUCACGCAUCCUUGAAACUAUUUCUCACCUCUCGAGGCCGUCGUAGUUGUUAGACUUUCUCUUCAUCGUUUUGAUUCCAUAGUGCAUGGGUUGUUUUGUAACCUAACUACACCCAAAUAGAGGGGAAGAUACCCGAUUACGCUUUCUCUUUUUUGACGAUGCAGUGGGGGAACCGAUAAAGGUAUGUAGAACAUAUUUUGUAACCUUAUGCAAGAAAGGUAGCUAUGAUGCUCCUGUUAUCUUUCUAAUGUGUUUUGUCUUCUGACUGCUUGAAAUUUUAAGUUCAUUGUGAUUUUGAUAAAUGGCAAGUGGAUCCUAGUUCCCUUUUGUUAUUGUUUCCAAUUCCACUUGCAAUUUGCAAAUCUUUGUAAUCUACAUCAACACCAAGUUAAGUGAAUCAACUCCAAAUGACUGCAUGUAUUGAAGAAAUGACCUAUAGUAAUUCAAACUCAAGGUGAUGGUAUCUUUCAACAAUUAAGUGUGAGCCACGUUACAAAUUGGGACAUGAAUUGAAUUUAAUGGAAAAUGGAGCGAGGAAGAAAUGACAUUGGAGCAAUGCACUUGUAAAUUUAAGUUUAGAGUUUUGAGUAUGUUCUUAGAAAGUUGUUUUUUUGUUGUAUAUUUAGCUUUAAAUAGAGUAUAACGUUAUAUACUAUUGUUUAUACUGAAACUCUUUGAAGUAAAUAAAACAAUAAAUCUUAUCAUUACUUUAAUAUAAUAUUUUAGGAUAAA